AAAGAAAACAUUUAUUAACGUAUCAUUACGAGAGGAGCGCCCGGCCGGGGCUGUCGCAAGCCCCGCGCAACACCUGGCUUCUACGAGCUCCAAGGGAGGAGAAAAAGAAAGCGGAAAGGAGGCAAGGAUUCUUUCUCUUCGUUUCCAGCCAAGUGGACCUGAUCGAUGGCCCUCCUGACUUUAUUGCGAUAUUUGAUUUAUUAGGGAUGCCCCCCUCGCGCGCGUGUGUGUUAACACACACACCCCCGCGCAAGCACGCCUCGGGCCCGCGUCCCUCCCUCAUUUCCACCUCCCGGGCGAAGCCCACAGCUGUUUCAACUCUCCACCGAGGGCGAGCGGGAGCGAGUGUGUGCCGGGUCCGUGAGUAAAGAGGGAAGAGAAACAAACCCACGGAGCACAGCUCCAGACUCCUGCAUCCCGCCAGAAGCAAGGGGAUCCGCAGAAACGUGACAUGGCCCCGGCCGGCGUCCUACUUUGCUUGCUCUCUGCAGCGGUCUUCUCCCUACUGGACGGAAGCGCGGCUUUCCUGUCCCACCACCGCCUGAAAGGCAGGUUUCAGAGGGAUCGCAGAAACAUUCGUCCCAACAUCAUCCUGGUGCUGACGGACGACCAGGACGUGGAGCUCGGCUCCAUGCAGGUGAUGAACAAGACGCGGCGCAUCAUGGAGCGGGGCGGGGCGCACUUCAUCAACGCCUUCGUGACCACGCCCAUGUGCUGCCCCUCGCGCUCCUCCAUCCUCACCGGGAAGUACGUCCACAACCACAACACCUACACCAACAAUGAAAACUGCUCCUCGCCCUCCUGGCAGGCGCAGCACGAGAGCCGCACCUUUGCCGUCUAUCUCAACAGCACCGGCUACCGGACAGCUUUCUUCGGGAAGUACCUUAAUGAAUACAACGGCUCCUACGUGCCACCAGGCUGGAAGGAAUGGGUCGGCCUCCUCAAAAACUCCCGCUUUUAUAACUACACGCUGUGUCGGAAUGGAGUGAAGGAGAAACACGGCUUUGACUACUCCAAGGACUACCUGACGGACCUGAUCACCAAUGACAGCGUGAGCUUCUUCCGCACGUCCAAGAAGAUGUACCCGCACAGACCUGUGCUCAUGGUCAUCAGCCACGCAGCCCCCCACGGUCCUGAGGACUCAGCCCCCCAGUACUCAAGCCUCUUCCCUAAUGCAUCUCAGCACAUCACCCCCAGCUACAACUACGCGCCCAACCCCGACAAGCACUGGAUCAUGCGUUACACGGGGCCCAUGAAGCCGAUCCACAUGCAGUUCACCAACAUGCUGCAGCGGAAGCGCCUGCAGACCCUCCUGUCGGUGGACGACUCCAUGGAGACGAUUUACAACAUGCUGGUGGAGACCGGUGAGCUGGACAACACCUACAUCGUGUACACAGCCGACCACGGCUACCACAUCGGCCAGUUCGGACUGGUGAAAGGGAAGUCCAUGCCCUAUGAGUUCGACAUCAGGGUCCCGUUCUACGUGAGGGGCCCCAACGUGGAGGCCGGCUCCCUGAAUCCCCACAUCGUCCUCAACAUCGACCUGGCCCCCACCAUCCUGGACAUCGCCGGGCUGGACAUCCCCUCGGAUAUGGACGGGAAAUCCAUCCUCAAGCUACUGGACACAGAGCGGCCGGCGAAUCGGUUUCACUUGAAAAAGAAGCUGCGGGUCUGGCGGGACUCCUUCCUGGUGGAGAGAGGCAAACUGCUGCACAAGAGGGACAGCGACAAGGUGGAUGCCCAGGAGGAGAACUUCCUGCCCAAGUACCAGCGCGUCAAAGACCUGUGCCAGCGCGCCGAGUACCAGACGGCGUGCGAGCAGCUGGGGCAGAAGUGGCAGUGCGUGGAGGACGCCUCGGGGAAGCUGAAGCUGCACAAGUGCAAGGGCCCCGCGCGGCCCGGGGGCAGGGCCGUCUCCAACCUGGUGCCCAAGUACUACGUGCAGGGCAGCGAGGGCUGCGUCUGCGAUGGCGGGGACGGCCAGCUCACCCUGGCCGGACGCCGGAAGAAGCUCUUCAAGAAGAAGUACAAGGCCAGCUACGCCCGGAAUCGCUCCAUCCGCUCGGUGGCCGUCAGGGGGCACCACGUCAGCCCGGACGACGCAUCCCAGCCCCGCAACCUCACUAAGCGGCGCUGGCCGGGAGCCCCUGAGGACCGAGAGGACAGGGACGGCGGGGACUUCAGUGGCACUGGGGGCCUCCUGGACUACUCGGCCCCUAGCCCCAUUAAAGUCACACAUCGGUGCUACAUCCUGGAGAAUGACACGGUCCAGUGUGACCGGGGCCUGUACAAGUCCCUGCAGGCCUGGAGGGACCACAAGCUGCACAUCGACCACGAGAUCGAGACCCUGCAGAACAAAAUCAAGAACCUAAGAGAAGUCCGAGGUCACCUGAAGAGAAAGCGGCCAGAAGAAUGUGACUGUCACAAAAUCAGUUACCACGCCCAGCACAAAGGCCGCCUCAAGCACAAAGGCUCCAGCCUGCAUCCUUUCAGGAAGGGUCUGCAGGAGAAGGACAAGGUGUGGCUGCUACGGGAGCAGAAGCGCAAGAAGAAACUCCGCAAGCUGCUCAAGCGCCUGCAAAACAACGACACAUGCAGCAUGCCAGGCCUCACGUGCUUCACCCACGACAACCAGCACUGGCAGACGGCGCCCCUCUGGACAUUGGGGCCUUUCUGCGCCUGCACCAGCGCCAACAACAACACGUACUGGUGCAUGAGGACCAUCAACGAAACCCACAAUUUCCUCUUCUGUGAAUUCGCGACCGGCUUCCUGGAGUACUUCGAUCUCAACACAGACCCCUACCAGUUGAUGAAUGCAGUGAACACACUGGACAGGGACAUCCUCAAUCAGCUACACGUGCAGCUCAUGGAACUGAGGAGCUGCAAGGGUUACAAGCAGUGUAACCCCCGGACCCGGAACAUGGACCUGGGACUUAAAGAUGGAGGAAGCUAUGAGCAAUACAGGCAGUUUCAGCGUCGAAAGUGGCCAGAAAUGAAGAGACCUUCUUCCAAAUCACUGAAGCAGCCGUGUCAGUCUUUCCAGUAAAAUAACCUACUUGGAUACACUGCAUGUACUAGAUCAAUACUUGUUGUUCUCCACAUCAUCAUCUCUGCUUUGGAAGCGCAAGGCCUCCCUGACAGGCUCAGAAGCGUGUCAGUCAGCUGAGUACCAGGGGACAGCUGUGGGAAGGCUGGGAAGGUUAAGAAGCACGAGCUGGACCUCCAAAAACAGAGGCGUCACCUGUACAAUGAAAAACCCUGAAUGAUUUCCAGCAGACCUGUGCUGUUAGCCAGGAGGCCGAGACACACGGAACCCGCCUUCAGUCAACGCGGCAGAUUCUGGACGAGAACCAACGGGAGCAGUGAGACUUCCAGAAGUACAUGCUUGUCCCUGCUUUUGCUUUGGAUUAUACCUCACCAGCUGCACAAAACGCAUUUUCAUGUCAGAAAGUCACCACUAACCCUCUCUGAGGGGCUCAAAAGGGAAGAACAACAGAGAGAUUUUCUUGGAAAUUUCCCCCAAGGGCGAAAGUCACUGGAAUUUUUUUUAAAUUACAGGGAAAGAGCCACCCUGUUUUAGAUCCUCUUAUUCUUUUGGUUCGUCACAAAGAAGGAGCAGGACAGAGGCAGGAAAUGGUGCACCAAGUUUGACAAUGAGUCAAUAGCACAAAAGACACGAAUUUCUAUCUCGCCCUAUAACCCUGGCUGCCUCUGAAGACAGUGACUUCAAUGUAUAUAUGUGACUAUUUACAUGUAACCAGCUCGGAAACUUCUAGGGGAAUCUAAUAAGAAAACCCAAUUUUCAGGAGUGGUGGUGUUAAUAAAUGGUGUGGCCCAUGUAAAAGAAAA